AUAUUGGACAAUGGGCGCAAGCCUGAUCCAGCCAUGCCGCGUGAGUGAUGAAGGCCUUAGGGUUGUAAAGCUCUUUCAUCAGGGAAGAUAAUGACGGUACCUGAAGAAGAAGCCCCGGCUAACUUCGUGCCAGCAGCCGCGGUAAUACGAAGGGGGCUAGCGUUGCUCGGAAUCACUGGGCGUAAAGCGCACGUAGGCGGCUUUCUAAGUCAGGGGUGAAAUCCCGGAGCUCAACUCCGGAACUGCCUUUGAUACUGGCAAGCUAGAGUCCGGAAGAGGUGAGUGGAACUCCUAGUGUAGAGGUGGAAUUCGUAGAUAUUAGGAAGAACACCAGUGGCGAAGGCGGCUCACUGGUCCGGUACUGACGCUGAGGUGCGAAAGCGUGGGGAGCAAACAGG
rnacentral:rRNA from 1 species